rnacentral:lncRNA from 10 species
GCUUGAUGAGGUUGAAGAAUGGGUGUCACGGUGGAGAGGGCAUGGAGGAAUCGGGAGCAUUGGAGACUGUGGUCAGAGAGGAGAAUGAUGGCCCUGAAGAUUACACUGGGACAGUUAGGGGUGAUGACAAGGUCAAGGUUGGAGAUAAAAGUCAAUGGAGGUGAGAAGACCAGAGAACUGUGUGGUCAGGAAGUCAGAGUGGUUGGCCCCAUGGACAUCGAUGUGUUGUGAUGGCGGCAGUAUUUGGGGUACAGAGGAAGGCUUUAGCCAAAGUGAAGUCUUUGAUGAAAGUCAGGGAGAGGCCAGGAAGGAGCUGGGGAGAUGAUGGGGUUGAGAAAGGGCUCAGGAUGGCCAACUUAGACCCUCAGAGGAGAAAACUUUGCCCCAGGAGGGUGGAGGAGUGAUGGUUUGCAGGUGUCAGCAUCCCCCCAACCGCCACCACCAACUCUCCUUGACUGCAAUUCCAAGUGCAAGGACAUGAGUUCAUAACCAUCUGUUAUCGUUGACUUCUAUUCCUGAGAUUGCACCAGCUGUUUUGUUGCAAGCUGCAAGUUAAAAAAUACCUGUCUCAGGUGUGUCUGCCCCGGCCAGUCCCUGGAGUCUAAGGUCCCUCAGAUCCUUUCUCCCUUCCCAUCUGUGUAUCUCUUGGGACUGAG